rnacentral:rRNA from 1 species
CACGUAGGGUGCAAGCGUUGUCCGGAAUUAUUGGGCGUAAAGAGCUCGUAGGCGGUGUGUCGCGUCGGCCGUGAAAACCUGCAGCUUAACUGUGGGCGUGCGGUCGAUACGGGCAUCACUGGAGUUCGGCAGGGGAGACUGGAAUUCCUGGUGUAGCGGUGAAAUGCGCAGAUAUCAGGAGGAACACCGGUGGCGAAGGCGGGUCUCUGGGCCGAUACUGACGCUGAGGAGCGAAAGCGUGGGGAGCGAACGGG